GACGAACGCUGGCGGCGUGCCUAAUACAUGCAAGUCGAACGCAGUGGGGACGGGUGAGUAACACGUGGGUAACCUCCCAUCAGAGGGGAUAACACUUGGAAACAGGUGCUAAACCGAUACUGAUGGAUGGACCCGCGGUGCCUUAGCUAGUUGGUGAGGUAACGGCUAACCAGGGCGACGAUGCAUAGCCGGCCGGAGAGGUGGAUCGGCAACACUGGAACUGAGACACGGGCCAGACUCCUACGGGAGGCAGCAGUGGGGAAUCUUCGGCAAUGGACGAAAGUCUGACCGAGCAAUGCCGCGUGAGUGAAGAAGGUUUUCGGAUCGUAAAGCUCUGUUGUUAGAGAAGCGGUAUCUAACCAGAAAGCAACGGCUAACUACGUGCCAGCAGCCGCGGUAAUAC
rnacentral:rRNA from 1 species